rnacentral:snRNA from 1 species
GGAUGUUGGGGGUGAUCUGGUCGUGACAUCUGUCACCCCACUGAUCUCUAGGGUAGUUUCAGAUGAUCUGGCUGGGUGGGUGGGUGUCCCCUCUCCCCUCCCUGCCUCAGGGAUCCAAGUGCAUCCUUCCCAAAGCUGCACACGGGGUCAAACAGGAUGAUCUUCCCCUGGAUAGAGGAGGACCUGUCUUCAGACAAGUAUGUGUGAGUAGCUCUGCUUCCUCAACAAACCCUCCAAGUGAGCUUGUGAGUCCAUUUUUAAAGAAAAAAAAAGUAAAGACAAAAAGGUGU